rnacentral:rRNA from 1 species
GUAGGUGGCAAGCGUUGUCCGGAAUUAUUGGGCGUAAAGCGCGCGCAGGCGGUUCUUUAAGUCUGAUGUGAAAGCCCACGGGCUCAACCGUGGAGGGUCAUUGGAAACUGGAGAACUUGAGUACAGAAGAGGAAAGCGGAAUUCCACGUGUAGCGGUGAAAUGCGUAGAGAUGUGGAGGAACACCAGUGGCGAAGGCGGCUUUCUGGUCUGUAACUGACGCUGAGGCACGAAAGCGUGGGGAGCAAACAGGAUUAGAUACCCUGGUAGUCCACGCCGUAAACGAUGAGUGCUAAGUGUUAGGGGGUUUCCGCCCCUUAGUGCUGCAGCUAACGCAUUAAGCACUCCGCCUGGGGAGUACGGCCGCAAGGCUG